rnacentral:tRNA from 1 species
GCCUGGGUGGCUCAGUUGGUUAAGCAUCCGACUUCGGCUCAGGUCAUGAUCUCAUGGUUUGUGGGUUUGAGCCCCACAUCGGGCU